AAUUCAACUUUACAAUACACUUAUUUUCCACAGUCACUAACUUAAACACAUGCUAUAAUUCACAACGAACUAUUCACGCACUUUACAUACCGUGGUUAUCAGUGUCUAUAACUUCAGUCUCGCUCUCUGCUACUCCAGUUCCCAACGAUCAUCUCCUUUGUCUGGCGCACUUAUAUACAAUCUAAAACGCGCGCGUAGAACGCACUAGCGUCUUCGCGAAUCUUCUAGACACUAAUCACGUGUUACCAGAGUCACGUGACUUCCGCUGUCGUUACAGAGCCUUAUUUCAACAUGUGAAUCUGAAAUGUUAAAAUGCAAUUUAUGGUUUCAUUCCUCACUGUAGUCCUUAUUUUAACCAUUAAUUGUAUACUUUAUUUCUGUUCAAUAUCCCACACUAUUUUCAUUUUCGAUAAUUUCUUCAACAAUGGAUGGCAGCAAAUUUUACAGUGUAUAUUAAAACAAUCUUUUCAUUCAAUAAAUAAAGUAUCUGUCACUAGAAUAUAGGUACGGGAAUGAAUUCUGGUUAAGAAGUUAGCACAUAGAAUUACAUACAAAAGUUGUAAUUGUUUUCAAACGAGACCUAAAACUCGAGCACUUUAGAAUAGUUCACUAUUCUUCUUCAGGAGAAUAAAAGGAAUAAAGAUAAAGUGAUUAAAAAUCAGUCCAACUAACCUGACAUUUUAAACAAAUGAUAGAUUUAUAAAUGUUUCCAUACCAGUUUCUUUAUACAUGUAAAAACAUUAAGUAAUGAUUAUUUUAUUUUUAAUAGAUCUUUCUUGUAGACCUGGAGCUAGUAAGCCAUAAAGAUUACUGUUGCCAUGUGAUGACAUUUCAUUAUGAAAUACACUGUGGCUCCCAUACCUGUGAAUUUCAUUAGAGAUGGAAAGGCCCAACAUGUGCCCUGAUACUAAUACCAAAGGAAUGGAGAAGAGACCACAAUGGAUCUAGAUGAUUUGACACGAAUAUUGGCAAUCAUCAAAUAUUUUCUGCUUAUUUUGUUAAAUGUAAAAAAAAAAAAAAAAACUUACUUACCAAAAAUAGUAGAUGGUGCUAAUUCUUUAGUUAAACAGUUGCAGCAAAUUAUUUAGAAAAAUAUGGCGUACUUGCAAAUAUGUAAUAAUUGCUCAUGGGUAACAAUAAACAUUGUUUAACCAUGA